AUUGAGGUUAUGGUUUCAUUAC
rnacentral:misc_RNA from 1 species